GAUAAACGCUGGCGGUGUACAUAAAACAUGCAAGUCGAACGGGAGAAGACAGGAAGAUUUAUCUACUUGUUGGACACCGUGGCGGACGGGUGAGUAACACGUAAGCAACCUGCCUAUAAGAGGGGAAUAACAGUGAGAAAUUACUGAUAAUACCGCAUAAGCUGGAGGUAUCGCAUGAUACAUUCAGAAAAGAUUUAUCGCUUAUAGAUGGGCUUGCGUCUGAUUAGCUAGUUGGUGAGAUAACAGCUCACCAAGGCGACGAUCAGUAGCCGGAUUGAGAGGUUGAACGGCCACAUUGGGACUGAGACACGGCCCAGACUCCUACGGGAGGCAGCAGUCGGGAAUAUUGCACAAUGGAGGAAACUCUGAUGCAGUGACACCGCGUAUAGGAAGAAGGUCUUAGGAUUGUAAGCUAUUGUCGNGNGAGAAGAAA
rnacentral:rRNA from 1 species